GCCUCUGAGAUUUGUAGUCCACAGUUGCAGCCAGCAGCUUUUUUGGAAGCAACCCUAUUCCUUGCUGUUAGUGACAUGCCUAGUACAUUUGGGGAGCUGGUCAUACAUGAAAGUCCUCCUAAACAGCCUUGGAAGUGAGAACUGAAUAUAUUCAUUCCAUCCCCAGGAAAGUGCUCUUUCCAGUGCUGAGACAUCUCCAGCCCAGAUGCACGCACACACAAAUUUCCAUCCCAGAAUAUUCCAUCCUGGAAAGUAAUAGUGUGAUGUUUGAAGUUGCAGCUUAGAGCCAAAGUUGUUUUUUAAACAUGAAUCUUCUACAAUGGAUUCAAAUAUAUGUGAGUAGGUAAUUAUACAUGGCUGCUUACUAUGUCCCAGUCAAUUGCUUCAAACUCCCCUUGCUGUCAUAUACAAGUGUUAAUUUGAUAUUUACUCACAAUAAAAAUCUUUCUACU